CCUACGGGAGGCAGCAGUGAGGAAUAUUGGUCAAUGGACGAGAGUCUGAACCAGCCAAGUAGCGUGAGGGAUGACUGCCCUAUGGGUUGUAAACUUCUUUUAUAUGGGAAUAAAACGUUCCACGUGUGGGAUUUUGUAUGUACCAUAUGAAUAAGGAUCGGCUAACUCCGUGCCAGCAGCCGCGGUAAUACGGAGGAUCCGAGCGUUAUCCGGAUUUAUUGGGUUUAAAGGGAGCGUAGGUGGAUUGUUAAGUCAGUUGUGAAAGUUUGCGGCUCAACCGUAAAAUUGCAGUUGAAACUGGCAGUCUUGAGUACAGUAGAGGUGGGCGGAAUUCGUGGUGUAGCGGUGAAAUGCUUAGAUAUCACGAAGAACUCCGAUUGCGAAGGCAGUUCACUGGACUGCAACUGACACUGAGGCUCGAAAGUGUGGGUAUCAAACAGGAUUAGAUACCCUUGUAGUC
rnacentral:rRNA from 1 species